AGUGAACGCUGGCGGCAGGCUUUACACAUGCAAGUCGAACGGCAACGAGGUGAAGCCUUCUUCUCUCGCGGCGAGUGUCGCACGGGGGAGGAGAACAUCGCGACGUGCCAAGUAUUGUGGGAUAACCAAACGGGAGAUUUGCUAAUAUCGCGUAAGCGCCAAGGGGGUAAGUGGGGGACCUAAAUAAGCCCUGACGCGAUUUGUGAGGCCGAUGUCGGAUUAGUUAGUUGGGGGGGUAAUGGCUCACCAAGGCAAGGAUCCGUAGCGGGUCUGAGAGGAGGAUCCGCCACACUGGGACUGAGACACGGCCCAGACUCCUACGGGAGGCAGCAGUGGGGAAUAUUGGACAAUGGGGGCAACCCUGAUCCAGCCAUGCCGCGUGUAUGAAGAAGGCCUUAGGGUUGUAAAGUCCUUUUGUUAGGGAAGAAAAGCUAGUUUUUAAUACCACUUAGUGCUGACGGUACCCAAAGAAUAAGCACCGGCUAACUACGUG
rnacentral:rRNA from 1 species